GGGGCGUUAGCUCAGCUGGUUAGAGCAGGCGACUCAUAAUCGCCCAGUCGUCGGUUCAAGUCCGACACGCCCUA
rnacentral:tRNA from 2 species